rnacentral:rRNA from 1 species
AAUAUUGGUCAAUGGAGGCAACUCUGAACCAGCCAUGCCGCGUGCAGGAAGACGGCCCUACGGGUUGUAAACUGCUUUUGUACCGGAAUAAACCCUCUUCCGUGAAAGAGGUUGAAUGUACGGUAAGAAUAAGGAUCGGCGAACUCCGUGCCAGCAGCCGCGGUAAUACGGAGGAUCCAAGCGUUAUCCGGAUUUAUUGGGUUUAAAGGGUGCGUAGGCGGCUUAUUAAGUCAGGGGUGAAAGACGGUGGCUCAACCAUCGCAGUGCCUUUGAUACUGAUGAGCUUGAAUCUACCUGAGGUAGGCGGAAUGUGACAAGUAGCGGUGAAAUGCAUAGAUAUGUCACAGAACACCAAUUGCGAAGGCAGCUUACUAAAGUGGUAUUGACGCUGAGGCACGAAAGCGUGGGGAUCAAACAGG